rnacentral:lncRNA from 1 species
GUCCCUAUUCCCUACAUAGUGCACUAAAUUAGACCAGAGUUAUGGAACGGAAUUCCCUUUUUAUGCACUUUGACCUUGAACUGAAGCAUGAGAAUAUUCACCUGCUACACACCUGUUAUUCACCUGCUACACACCUGUUAUUCACCUGCUACACACCUGUUAUUCACCUGCUACACACCUGUUAUUCACCUGCUACACACCUGUUAUUCACCUGCUACACACCCGUUAUUCACCUGCUACACACCCGUUAUUCACCUGCUACACACCUGUUAUUCACCUGCUACACACCUGUUAUUCACCUGCUACACACCUGUUAUUCACCUGCUAUACACCUGUUAUUCACCUGCUACACACCUGUUAUUCACCUGCUACACACCUGUUACACACCUGUUAUUCACCUGCUACACACCUGUUAUUCACCUGUUACACACCUGUUAUUCACCUGCUACACACAUGUUAUUCACCUGCUACACACCUGUUAUUCACCUGCUACACACCUGUUAUUCACCUGCUACACACCUGUUAUUCACCUGUUAUUCACCUGCUACACACCUGUUAUUCACCUGCUACACACCUGUUAUUCACCUGCUACACACCUGUUAUUCACCUGCUACACACCUGUUAUUCACCUGCUACACACCCGUUAUUCACCUGCUACACACCUGUUAUUCACCUGUUAUUCACCUGCUACACACCUGUUAUUCACCUGCUACACACCUGUUAUUCACCUGCUAUACACCUGUUAUUCACCUGCUACACACCUGUUAUUCACCUGCUACACACCUGUUAUUCACCUGCUACACACCUGUUACACACCUGUUAUUCACCUGCUACACACCUGUUAUUCACCUGUUACACACCUGUUAUUCACCUGCUAUACACCUGUUAUUCACCUGCUACACACCUGUUAUUCACCUGCUACACACCUGUUAUUCACCUGUUAUUCACCUGCUACACACCUGUUAUUCACCUGCUACACACCUGUUAUUCACCUGUUACACACCUGUUAUUCACCUGCUAUACACCUGUUAUUCACCUGCUACACCUGUUAUUCACCUGUUAUACACCUGUUAUUCACCUGCUACACACCUGUUAUUCACCUGUUCACCUGCUACACACCUGUUAUUCACCUGUUAUUCACCUGCUACACACCUGUUAUUCACCUGUUAUACACCUGUUAUACACCUGUUAUUCACCUGCUAUACACCUGUUAUUCACCUGCUAUACACCUGUUAUUCACCUGCUAUACACCUGUUAUUCACCUGCUAUACACCUGUUAUUCACCUGCUAUACACCUGUUAUUCACCUGCUACACACCUGUUAUUCACCUGUUAUACACCUGCUACACACCUGCUAUACACCUGUUAUUCACCUGCUACACACCUGUUAUACACCUGUUAUUCACCUGCUAUACACCUGCUAUACACCUGUUAUACACCUGCUAUACACCUGUUAUCCUGCUACACACCUGUUAUUCACCUGCUAUUCACCUGCUAUACACCUGCUACACACCUGUUAUUCUCCUGCUAUUCACCUGGUAUACACCUGUUAUUCUUCUGCUAUAUACCUGCUACACACCUGUUAUACACCUGCUAUACACCUGCUACUCACCUGUUAUACACCUGCUAUACACCUGAUACACCUGCUACUCACCUGCUACACACCUGCUACUCACCUGCUAUACACCUGUUAUUCUCCUGCUAUACACCUGAUUCACCUGUUAUACAUCUGCUAUUCACCUGCUAUACACCUGCUAUUCACCUGCUAUUCACCUGCUAUACACCUGCUAUUCACCUGCUAUUCAUUGGGGGUGGAGAUCUAAUACAUGAAGGUGUGGCGGAGCCGUGUCUACAGAUUCUGACCUUGUUGAUGCCUUCUUAACAUGCAUGACACCAAGGCUUUUACGGUUACAGAAGUCAACAAAUGAGAGAGCCUGGGGAAUGGGAGUGGAGCUAGGCACUGCAGGGCCUGGGUUAACCUCUACAUCACCAGACCAAGACCUCCCUGACCAAGGCCCUUCUCCCUUGAUUGUUCAGUUUGGCCAACGGGCCAGCUUCCAAACUUCUUUCAUUUAAGAAUGAUAGAGGCCUCUGUCUUCUUUGGGAAAUUCAAAGCUGCUGAAAUGUUUUGGUACCCUUCCCAAGAUCUGUGCCUCGACACAAUCCUUUUUCAGAGCUCUACGGACAAUUCCUUUCGACAUCAUGGCUUGGGUUUUGCUCUGACAUGCACUGUCAACUAUGAUACCUUAUGUAGACAGGUGUGUGCCUUUCCAAAUCAUGUCCAAUCAAUUGAAUUUACCCCAGGUGGACUCCAAUUAAGUUGCAGAAACAUCUCAAGGAUGAUCAAUGGAAAUAGGAUCCACCUGAGCUCAAUUUCAAGUCUCAUAGCAAAGGGUCUGAAUAUUUAUGUAAAUUUAAUAAGGCAUUAUCGUGGGUAGUUUGACUAGGUUUUUAUUUAAGGGGUCUGAAUACUUUCCGAAUGCACUGUAAAUUACACUGAGCAAAAGAGGAUGUUUUUGGAUUUUCACCCUCCAGACAUUAUUCCCUAAAGGUCUUGAUGAGAUAGAUGCCCAAGCAUGUUAUGUUGUAAAUGUGAACAUCAAUUAAUGCCGCCACUUCAGCCACUCUGGUGGUUUUUCCUGCACUGUACCCAUUGAUUACGUACUUGAUAGGUUGAUGUCCUCAUUGUGUUUUUACAGUCUUUUUUAAUAAGUUUAGAAUACUUAUUAAAUACACAUUGUUAUAUUUGAUAACACUUGGUUAUUUUCUUAAUAAAGAGCAGCGAACCUAGCAAGAGCAGUGUGUGGGUUUCUUUUUUCUCUCAGGAUGUAACAACAAAAUGUGGAAUAAGUCAAGGGCUAUGAAUACUUUCUGAAGGCACUGUACACGCACUACAUCACCACACACUACAUCACCACACACUACAUCACCACACACUACAUCACCACACACUACAUCACCACACACGCACUACAUAACCCCACACGCACUACGUAACCCCACACGCACUACAUCACCACACACUACAUAACCACACACUACAUCACCACACACUACAUAACCACACGCACUACAUAACCCCACACGCACUACAUAACCACACACUACAUAACCACGCACUACAUAACCACGCACUACAUAACCCCACACUACAUAACCCCACACUACAUAACCACGCACUACAUAACCACGCACUACAUAACCCCACACGGACUACAUCACCGCACACUACAUCACCACACACUACAUAACCACGCACUACAUAACCCCACACGCACUACAUCACCGCACACUACAUAACCACACACUACAUAACCACGCACUACAUAACCCCACACGCACUACAUCACCGCACACUACAUCACCACACACUACAUAACCACGCACUAC